rnacentral:rRNA from 1 species
GACGAACGCUGGCGGCGUGCUUAACACAUGCAAGUCGAACGGAAAGGCCCUGCUUUUGUGGGGUGCUCGAGUGGCGAACGGGUGAGUAACACGUGAGUAACCUGCCCUUGACUUUGGGAUAACUUCAGGAAACUGGGGCUAAUACCGGAUAGGAGCUCCUGCUGCAUGGUGGGGGUUGGAAAGUUUCGGCGGUUGGGGAUGGACUCGCGGCUUAUCAGCUUGUUGGUGGGGUAGUGGCUUACCAAGGCUUUGACGGGUAGCCGGCCUGAGAGGGUGACCGGCAACAUGGGGACUGAGAUACGGCCCAGACUCCUACGGGAGGCAGCAGUGGGGAAUAUUGCACAAGGGGCGGAAGCCGGAUGCAGCAACGCCGCGUGCGGGAGGACGGCCUUCGGGUUGUAAACCGCUUUCGCUUGUGACGAAGCGUGAGUGACGGAAAUGGGUAAAGAAGCACCGGCUAACUACGU